rnacentral:rRNA from 1 species
AACGAACGCUGGCGGCAUGCCUAACACAUGCAAGUCGAACGAGACCUUCGGGUCUAGUGGCGCACGGGUGCGUAACGCGUGGGAACCUGCCCUUAGGUUCGGAAUAACUCCCCGAAAGGGGUGCUAAUACCGGAUAAUGUCUUCGGACCAAAGAUUUAUCGCCUUUGGAUGGGCCCGCGUUGGAUUAGCUAGUUGGUAGGGUAAAAGCCUACCAAGGCGACGAUCCAUAGCUGGUCUGAGAGGAUGAUCAGCCACACUGGGACUGAGACACGGCCCAGACUCCUACGGGAAGCAGCAGUGGGGAAUAUUGGACAAUGGGCGAAAGGCUGAUCCAGCAAUGCCGCGUGAGUGAUGAAGGCCUUAGGGUUGUAAAGCUCUUUUACCCGGGAUGAUAAUGACAGUACCGGGAGAAUAAGCUCCGGCUAACUCCGUG